rfam:Lepisosteus oculatus linkage group LG12, whole genome shotgun sequence.
GCCAGCAACUAUAUCACCCUGCAGCUCACCACUGGCAACCCACUGAAGCUAUGCAGGUGUGAGCCUGGUCAGUACCUGGAUGGGAGACAUCCUGGGAAAAACUAAGGUUGCUGCUGGAA